UACGAAGGGGGCUAGCGUUGUUCGGAUUUACUGGGCGUAAAGCGCGCGCAGGCGGUUUUCCAAGUCAGUGGUGAAAGCCCGGAGCUCAACUCCGGAACUGCCAUUGAAACUGUUAAACUUGAGGACGAGAGAGGUGAGUGGAAUUCCCAGUGUAGAGGUGAAAUUCGUAGAUAUUGGGAAGAACACCAGUGGCGAAGGCGGCUCACUGGCUCGUAUCUGACGCUCAGGCGCGAUAGCGUGGGGAUCAAACAGG
rnacentral:rRNA from 1 species